AUAAAAUGUAAAAUUUACUAGGAAAAUAUAUUAAUUCUAUUAUUCUUGUAUGUCCGUUUUGUCGGUUCAAAAUGUCCCAGUUCAAUUGAUCGGGCAAUCGAAACUCAAAAGACUGGAAACUAGUAGAAAGAACACGAGAAAAAAGAUGGCGACCAACGGCAAGAAAAAUAUUAAAGGAAAUAAGGGAAGUUUGACACAAGAACAAACAAUUGUUAAAUUUAAUCAACUUCGACAAGAACAAAGGAAUCUUCUUGCUAAAAUAAAUGAGUUGGAAAUGGAUCAGUCUGAACACAGGUAUUACCUAAAAAUACUUUAGAGUUUUGACAGGAGGGAC
rnacentral:lncRNA from 1 species